UACGUAGGGGGCAAGCGUUGUCCGGAUUUAUUGGGCGUAAAGAGCUUGUAGGCGGCCAGAUAGGUCUGUUGUGAAAACUGGAGGCUUAACCUUCAGAGGUCGAUGGAAACCAUCUGGCUAGAGUCCGGAAGAGGAGAAUGGAAUUCCUGGUGUAGCGGUGAAAUGCGCAGAUAUCAGGAAGAACACCCGUGGCGAAGGCGGUUCUCUGGGACGGUACUGACGCUGAGACGCGAAAGCGUGGGGAGCGAACGGG
rnacentral:rRNA from 1 species